rnacentral:rRNA from 1 species
CAGGUCACUCCUACGGGAGGCAGCAGUGGGGAAUAUUGGACAAUGGGCGCAAGCCUGAUCCAGCAAUGCCGCGUGUGUGAAGAAGGCCUUCGGGUUGUAAAGCACUUUUAUCAGGAGCGAAAUACUACUGGCUAAUAACCGGUGGGGCUGACGGUACCUGAGGAAUAAGCACCGGCUAACUUCGUGCCAGCAGCCGCGGUAAUACGAAGGGUGCAAGCGUUAAUCGGAAUUACUGGGCGUAAAGCGUGCGUAGGCGGUGAGUUAAGUCUGUUGUGAAAUCCCCGGGCUCAACCUGGGAAUGGCAAUGGAUACUGGCUCGCUAGAGUGUGAUAGAGGAUGGUGGAAUUCCCGGUGUAGCGGUGAAAUGCGUAGAGAUCGGGAGGAACAUCAGUGGCGAAGGCGGCCAUCUGGAUCAACACUGACGCUGAGGCACGAAAGCGUGGGGAGCAAACAGGAUUAGAUACCCUGGUAGUCCACGCCCUAAACGAUGCGAACUGGAUGUUGGUCUCAACUCGGAGAUCAGUGUCGAAGCUAACGCGUUAAGUUCGCCGCCUGGGGAGUACGGUCGCAAG